AAUGAACGCUGGCGGCAGGCCUAACACAUGCAAGUCGAACGAGUGGCGGACGGGUGAGUAAUGUCUGGGAAACUGCCUGAUGGAGGGGGCUAACUACUGGAAACGGUAGCUAAUACCACAUACCAUCGGAUGUGCCCAGAUGGGAUUAGCUAGUAGGUGGGGGAAAGGCUCACCUAGGCGACGAUCCCUAGCUGGUCUGAGAGGAGGACCGGCCACACUGGAACUUGGACACGGUCCAGACUCCUACGGGAGGCAGCAGUGGGGAAUAUUGCACAAGGGGCGCAAGCCUGACGCAGCCAUGCCGCGUGUAUGAAGAGGGCCUUCGGGUUGUAAAGUACUUUCAGCGGGGAGGCGUUACCCGCAGAAAAAGCACCGGCUAACUCCGUGCCAGCCGCCGCGGUAAUAC
rnacentral:rRNA from 1 species